GGGACUGUAGCUUAGCCUGGUGGAGCACUCGACUGAUAAUCGAGCGGUCCCCGGUUCAAAUCCGGGCAGUCCCA
rnacentral:tRNA from 1 species